AUUUAUUUGCUAAUGAUUAAUAAAAAAGUUCAUCUAUCCUUAGAUUGUAAUGGUCUGUCUGAAGAUUCAAACAAUGCCAAUUUAAAUGCUCAGUGCCUUUUCCCACAACCUUGGAAAGGGGGAAGGGUGUUUUCCUUUCUAACCUAUAUAUUUUUAAUGGCUUCAGGAAAGCUAUUCAUCAUUGGACUUGUUUUUUUUCAGUGGAUUUGUGAUGAUGGAUAGCCUUGAUAAUAAAGUGCAUGUGGACUGUUUGCUGGAGUGUGGUAUUGAUGCUGUAUAUAGGUGCAAAAGUUGAUUAGAAAUUGGUAUUUUGAGGUUUGAGCAUAGUAGCAAUUAGAAUACAGACAAUUUGUUAGAAGAAUAGGGGGUGAGAAACCAAGAGCCAUUCAUGGUUUGUUUAAGAGUCACUUCAAGUGAUAGGAGACGCAGUCUACCUU
rnacentral:misc_RNA from 1 species